ACAAAACAGAAAUUGAGUGUUAUUUUCAAAGUCAUGUAGAAGCUUUCUUUGCCCCAAAGCAGUGGGGAAACAGGAAAAAUAAAACUGAAGCAUGUCAUUUGUCCUAGAAUGAAAAUGCAUUGUUUAAAAAUCCAUGCAUACUCUUAUUUAGAAUAAGAAUUAGCUGUAUUGCAGAGUACAGUGUACCUUAUUUUAUUGUGCUUUGUUUUAUUAUGCUUCCCAGGUGUUGUGUGUGUGUGUGUGUGUGUGUGUGUGUUUACAAAUUGAAGGCAAGACCCUUCACCAGCAAAAAGAUUAUGACUUGCUUUAUUGUGUGCUCUAGAAACGAGGUCAUUGGAAUUCUUCAUCUACAGGACUCAAGGCAUUUCCUUCAGGAAAAAAGUAGAAUGCAGUUCUGUGGAGGUCCAGCCUCGAUGCCCGAGACACUGUCUGAGACCUGAAACCCUUGCUUUCCCCUCUCUUGGUGCAUAGAUGCUGCGGUCUCCUCCAUGCUUGGGAGGUGCUCCUGAUGCUGAGGUGCCCUCCUACCUACUGGCACCUCUGCAAGGCCUGUCUUCUCUGUGUCCAGGAAAGGAAAGGGUUCAGAGGUGCCUGGUGCCAGCCCGGAGGUUUCUCUUCUGCAUUACUGCUCUCUCCACAGCCGCCGGGAGGAGCCACAUGUCUCCAGGCUUGAUAGAGCAAUCUUCCAGGUGGAAGCAAGAAGAUAUAAUUCCCAUGCCAGGAAUGCUUCUCAUCACUGGAUAAAGCCCAAAUCUCCAUAAUGCAGCCUUCUGUGUUUAUAUGACCAUGAAUUCUUGACAUCUUUGACUCCCUCAUAAGCAUGCAAUUUCCAGAUGUAAACUAUCCCUAAAUUAUAGUUUUCCCCAACUCUAAGUAUGCUACAA